CGGAGGAAGGUGGGGAUGACGUCAAAUCAUCAUGCCCCUUAUGUCUAGGGCUGCAAACAUGCUACAAUGGCCGGUACAAAGGGCUGCGAUCCCGUGAGGGGGAGCGAAUCCCAAAAAGCCGGUCUCAGUUCGGAUUGGGGUCUGCAACUCGACCCCAUGAAGUCGGA
rnacentral:rRNA from 1 species